GGAUGUCUGAGGGUGACCUGGCUGCAACUCAUAUCACACCCCCUUGAUAACUAGAUUUGAUUUGGUUGAUGUGGCUGGUGAGGGAGUGUCCCCUUCCACCGUCACAUCUCCAAAAGUAUCCCUGCUAAAGCUGUGUGCUUUGUCAAAGAGGAUAACCUUCCCUGAGUAGAGGAAAGCCAGUCUUAUGUUAAGGGUAUAUGAGUAGCUAUGCUCCCAUGUUAUAACAUCCAAGCAAACUCUCAAAAGGAUGUUCAAGUGAACCUCAAAGGCUCUAAUCGAGUGGUUUAAUAAAUAGUUUGCAUUAACAAGCUAUGUUUUCUGG
ensembl:misc_RNA 7SK 7SK RNA